rnacentral:rRNA from 1 species
AGUGGCGGACGGGUGAGUAACGCGUAGGAAUUUACCUUAUAGCGGGGGAUAACUCGGGGAAACUCGAGCUAAUACCGCAUACUACUCGAAAGAGGAAAGCAGGGGACCUUCGGGCCUUGCGCUAUGAGAUGAGCCUGCGUUGGAUUAGCUAGUUGGUGGGGUAAAGGCCUACCAAGGCGACGAUCCAUAGCUGGUCUGAGAGGAUGACCAGCCACACUGGGACUGAGACACGGCCCAGACUCCUACGGGAGGCAGCAGUGGGGAAUAUUGGACAAUGGGGGAAACCCUGAUCCAGCAAUGCCGCGUGUGUGAAGAAGGCCUGAGGGUUGUAAAGCACUUUUAGUCGUGAGGAAAUGCUAUUAGAUAAUACCUAAUAGUUUUGACGUUAGCGACAGAAAAAGCACCGGCUAACUCUGUGCCAGCAGCCGCGGUAAUACAGAGGGUGCAAGCGUUAAUCGGAAUGACUGGGCGUAAAGGGCGCGUAGGUGGUUGUUUAAGUUAGAUGUGAAAUCCCUGGGCUUAACCUAGGAACUGCAUUUAAUACUGGGCAACUAGAGUACAGGAGAGGGCAGUGGAAUUUCCGGUGUAGCGGUGAAAUGCGUAGAUAUCGGAAGGAACACCAGUGGCGAAGGCGACUGCCUGGCCUGAUACUGACACUGAGGCGCGAAAGCGUGGGUAGCGAACAGGAUUAGAUACCCUGGUAGUCCACGCAGUAAACGAUAGAACUAGGCGAGGGGUUUGCAUAGCGAACUUCGUGCCGUAGCUAACGCGAUAA